UACAGACAUCUUGGUAUUAUGUGAUUUCGAAAUGUGUAAAGUUAUGGCAUGUGUGGAGACUUAGUAAUUUUGAGUGUGUUUAUACGAUAUGGCUAAUGGUUAGCUAUUGAAAUGGAAAUGGCUAAUGAAGAAUAUGUUUGGUGCUAUGGAUGCCUAAAUGAUAGUAAAUACAAAGAAAUUAUAAAAGAGUAAAAAUUUGCAAUGGAACAAUUUUUGGACAGCGGCAGUG
rnacentral:lncRNA from 1 species